rnacentral:rRNA from 1 species
UCGAGAAUCUUUCACAAUGGGCGAAAGCCUGAUGGAGCGACGCCGCGUGGGUGAUGAAGCCCUUCGGAGUGUAAAGCUCUUUCGACAGGAACGAUAAUGACGGUACCUGGAGAAGAAGCUGCGGCUAACUACGUGCCAGCAGCCGCGGUAAUACAGGGGAUACAAGCGUUACUCGGAAUCACUGGGCGUAAAGCGUCUGUAGGUGCCCAACUAAGUCUGCGGUAAAAGCUCGGGGCUCAACCCCGAGAGCGUCGCGGAAACUAGUAGGGUGGAGCAGUAGAGAGGCAUCUGGAAUGUCGCAUGUAGGAGUAAAAUCCGUAGAGAUGCGAUGGAACGCCAAAAGCGAAGGCAGGAUGCUAGCUACUUGCUGACACUGAGAGACGAAAGCGUGGGGAGCGAAGGGGAUUAGAUACCCCCGUAGUCCCUG